rnacentral:rRNA from 1 species
CGAACGCUGGCGGCGUGCUUAACACAUGCAAGUCGAACGCGAAAGGGACUUCGGUCCUGAGUAAAGUGGCGCACGGUGAGUAACGCGUAGAUAACCUGUCUUCAUGUCUGGAAUAAUACGCCGAAAGGGGUACUAAUACCGGAUAUUCUUGCUUUUCAUAAGUUAUGCAAGCAAAGGUGGCCUCUGCAUAUGCUACUGCAUGAAGAGGGGUCUGCGUACCAUUAGCUAGUAGGUGGGGUAAUGGCCUACCUAGGCGACGAUGGUUAGCGGGUCUGAGAGGAUGAUCCGCCACACUGGCACUGGAACACGGGCCAGACUCCUACGGGAGGCAGCAGUGAGGAAUAUUGCGCAAUGGGGGAAACCCUGACGCAGCGACGCCGCGUGAGUGAAGGAAGGCCUUCGGGUCGUAAAGCUCUGUCAAGAGGAAAGAAGUGUACAAUGGCUAAUACCUGUUGUAUUUGACGGUACCUCUAAAGGAAGCACCGGCUAACUCCGUGCCAGCAGCCGC